GGUGAGACACUAAACGGCGAGGGAAAUGCAACUCUUCUCUGUGGACGUAAUGUGUGUGAUCACACCUCUUGAAGAAACCAUUUGCUAAUUAAUUUGUGCCUAGAAAUCACCUGCAUCAGAAUAAAGAGAGAUAUAAAGACUGCCAGUGCUUAAAUGAGACCUCAGCUCUGAUCUCAGAUUUGGUGUUUGUGCCUGACAGGGACUGAGGAAAGAUCUGGAAACUAAAUCCCAGGGGAUAAGUGAAGAGUGAAGAAAAAGUAAACAGCUUCAAGCAAAUCUAUUAAAACCCCCAGGACAAAGGGAGGAAGACAAAGGCUUCUGUGAUUGUAACCCCAGCAACCAAGGGCAGAAGGAUUCAUUCUUGGCUUCCUACUUCUGGGCGGGAUCCAUCUUCAGCAUCUCCAGGAUACUCCAUAGCCACAAGUGAGUGUUUGUUCCAGUAAUAAACAGACAAAGGGGUGCAAGAAGUGAAUUCAUAUUGGGACCGAGUUAUUAUUUGGAAAGCAAUUUUCCAGGGGCUUCUCCUGCUUCUUUAUAUUCAUCUAACUGCCUCUGAAGUAAGGUCAAGACCUGGAAUGUGUCUUCUGGAAGGAACACCUAAAGAAUCUGACUAAGGGACUGUAACAGAGACAACAGGGAUGCCUGCACAGAGGAAACACCAUGUGACGAUGUGACAGACAGGCACCCAUCAGCAAGCCCAGUGGAGAGGCCUCAGGAGGAGCCAAACCUGCCGACUGACACCUUGAUCUCGGAUUGCCAGCCUCCAGAAUUAUGAGCAAAUAAAUUUCUGUUAUUUAAGCUU